rnacentral:rRNA from 1 species
UACGUAGGGUGCGAGCGUUAAUCGGAAUUACUGGGCGUAAAGUGUGCGCAGGCGGCCGAGCAAGUCGAGUGUGAAAGCCCCGAGCUUAACUUGGGAACUGCGCUCGAAAACUACUUGGCUAGAGUGUGGCAGAGGGAGGUGGAAUUCCACGUGUAGCGGUGAAAUGCGUAGAGAUGAUGGAGGAACACCGAUGGCGAAGGCAGCCUCCUGGGCCAACACUGACGCUCAUGCACGAAAGCGUGGGGAGCAAACAGGA